CUAAGGUUUUCCUUUACCCUAGCCAAGCUAACCACCCGACUCAGUCUCGAGUCAAUCAUCUGCGGAAUACUGCAUACAUCCAGGCUCGAGGUGAAGAACGUCCCACAUGCACCUCGGCCAUAAAUCCACUCAACUGGAAUACCAAAUCCAUAGCUCAUAAUGCCUAUUUUCACGAAUUCACUUUGGCCUUUACCCAAUUAUUUCGGUUAACACUUGUUACCCCAAGCUCACAAUCCAUAUAUCCCGUCUACCGGGGGAGGCACUUGGCACUACCACCCGAGGGAUCUUCGCCGGGGUACUCUCCUCGUGGUGUCUACACUCCGGAGUAC
rnacentral:lncRNA from 1 species